rnacentral:rRNA from 1 species
UGGGGGAAUAUUGGACAAUGGGGGCAACCCUGAUCCAGCAAUGCCGCGUGUGUGAAGAAGGUCUUCGGAUUGUAAAGCACUUUCGACGGGGACGAUGAUGACGGUACCCGUAGAAGAAGCCCCGGCUAACUUCGUGCCAGCAGCCGCGGUAAUACGAAGGGGGCUAGCGUUGCUCGGAAUGACUGGGCGUAAAGGGCGUGUAGGCGGUUUACACAGUCAGAUGUGAAAUCCCCGGGCUUAACCUGGGAGCUGCAUUUGAUACGUGUAGACUAGAGUGUGAGAGAGGGUUGUGGAAUUCCCAGUGUAGAGGUGAAAUUCGUAGAUAUUGGGAAGAACACCGGUGGCGAAGGCGGCAACCUGGCUCAUGACUGACGCUGAGGCGCGAAAGCGUGGGGAGCAAACAGGAUUAGAUACCCUGGUAGUCCACNCU